rnacentral:misc_RNA from 1 species
CCAGCAAGAUGGCGUCAUUGGCGGAUAAAUGGGCAUCCAUAGCUGCCCCCAUUUCGGCAUCGAAGUUAUCGAAUUGCCAGAGGUUGGGGGCUUCGACCACGCCGUCAAGCGAUAUGAACAGACCAGAUACUACUUUUCUCAUGAUUAUUCUCCUGUGAAAGUUCCAUUAUUCAUUUUCGAGCAGCAUGCCAACCGCGUUGGCUGUGUCCUGAUGGAUCAGUCCGCCCAACCCGGUUGGGCUUCUACCCCUGAAGGCUUCUACUCUUGAAUCAGGUCUAUCUUGCUCGAGCAGCAAGCCAACCGCGUUGGCUGUGUCCUGAUUGAUCAGACCGCCCAACCCGGUUAGGCUUCUACCCUGGAAGGCUUCUACCCUGGAAUCAGGUCUAUCUUUCUGGCGGGAUAUUAUGGUUUAGGUGGAAGAGGUUGUCCGGGUCAUAGCGGGCCUUGAUCGACUUCAGCCGGUCCCAGGUCGAACCCGGGUAGGCAUUACGCACCCGCUCUUCACCUUCGUCGUACAGGAAGUUGGCGUAGACGCUGUCGUCACCCUGGUUCAAGGCUGCGGCAAAUUCAUCGACCCAGUCCUGGCGCGCCGCGCGUGUCUCAGGGCUCUCAUAAAAAGCGGCGAUGUUAACCAUGAUAUUUUUGUCCCGAUGGGCAUAGGCGGUGGCCUCGAUGGGCACCCGCCUCAUCGCCCCACCCAGCACGCGCAGCUGGGCGACGCGCACCGGCGCAUCAUACUCCUGCAGGGUGCGCAAGAUCAUCACAGCCACUGCGUGAUCGACGUGGUCGACAAACAUAUUGUGUCCCACUGCCGUCGGGUGGUAACUUUCAUCCUCGGGCGGGUAGAUCUCCGGGUAGCGCAUGGGGUGGAGCAUGUCAGCCAGCGGAGUGGCCAGCGUCCGGAACGGAGCCAGGGCGCGCUGCCCGGCUUCCACCUCGCCGGCAUACACCAUGAAAGCCAGGGCGAUCAGCUUGCCGUGUAGAUCGGGGGGCAGGAAUGGCAUCGGGGGAGCAGCCAUGACGUUGAGGAUGGCCGACAGAUCUUCCGGAGCAGCCUCUGCCUCGGCGAUGAACCCGGCGAUCACCUCCGGUGUCGCCGGCAGGAUCAGCAUCCCGCCCACCACCUGAUCGACCGGGUGCAGCCGGAACUGGAAGCGGGUGACGACGC